rnacentral:lncRNA from 1 species
CCUGGGGUUCCUGGAUUUUGCGGGGAGGUGAGCUGUGUCAGCAGCCUGGGCUGAGACUGGAUAUGGGAUAGCAACAGAGUGUGCGAUGCACUGGGUCUCUGGUGCAGUCCUGGAUUCAGAUGACGCCUGUCAGAUACACAUCUGAAAUCCAGCCCAUGGGAACUUAAAGGAGUUCUUCAAACUAAUGACAGCUGUAGCAUUGGAGAAACCAAGAUCAGUCUGACAGGUGUAUGGGACAGACAAAGAAGAAAGACAGAAGGUAGAGGGACAGUGGCAGGUUUGCUUUACAUAGACAGCAUAGACAGCAGAAAAUCCUCAGUAGCAGAAGCUAUUUAAAGUCCCUGGCCCAAUAUCGAAUCCUCAUAUUUGGCAGUAGCAGAUUUCAGCUGGAUUUUCUGGGCACCUGCUGGCAGUAUGCUCUGCACCUCUGUUGGAGACCAAGGUUGAGGAUUGAGCUCUGGAGUCCUCCCAUGACCAAGGUCUGGCUUUACACUGCUGUGGGGUGAUGUGCUGACCUGACACACCAUUGGAAAGCACUGGAGGAUGCAAAGGUCCAUGAGAGAGGAUGGCUGAGCGUGUAUCUCAUUGGAGAUACAAGGAAAAUGCCUGAAGCCUGAGGACACAGACU